UACGUAGGGUGCGAGCGUUGUCCGGAAUUACUGGGCGUAAAGAGCUCGUAGGUGGUUUGUCGCGUUGUUCGUGAAAUCUCACGGCUUAACUGUGAGCGUGCGGGCGAUACGGGCAGACUUGAGUACUGCAGGGGAGACUGGAAUUCCUGGUGUAGCGGUGAAAUGCGCAGAUAUCAGGAAGAACACCCGUGGCGAAGGCGGCUCUCUGGGACGGUACUGACGCUGAGGCGCGAAAGCCAAGGGAGCAAACAGG
rnacentral:rRNA from 1 species